CAGUUGCAGGUUGCAGGUUUUAUUUGAUCAGUUCCAAUCGCAGACGAGCCAUCAAGUUCAUUUCAGAGCGAAGCAGUGUAAGGAGCGUGGCAGCCUGCGCAGAAAACAAGUCCAUUUGGAAACCUACAGCUCUGGACAGGAAACAGAUAAGUUUACAAAAAAGACCUUCUAGAGACAUUUUCAGCCCCGAAGAGACCUGACUGAGAGGUCCUUUCAUGCUACUGUACAAUGGCAAUGGUAAUCUGAACCGGCAAUGAGAUUUUUCAUCAGCCUAGAGGUGAUAAAUAUUCUCCUUUUGAGUUGUUUUGCAUCAGUGACCACCAGCCAGGCUGUCAAGGUGGUAUUGCUUGGGCAAACUGCCAGUCUCCCUUGUCUUUUUGCUCAACGAUCCCAGAAUGAUUUGACAGCCACUUGGACCAAGAAGGGCAGGACUCAGCUAUCAGAUAAGAGUCUCUUUGUCUUCCAUGCUGGAAAACGCAUGCCAGACCAUCAUACAGAGGAGUACAGAGACAGGAUCUUCAUAAAUCAAACUGGAUUGAGUGAUGGCAAUGCUACGCUCUUCCUGAAAAACAUAAGCAUCUCGGAUGAAGGGGUGUAUGAAUGUUUCGUGUUUAUGAACCCUGAAAAGCACAAUUCAACCUUAAAGCUCGAAGUGGCUGAUCUCCAUGGCUGUAACUUGUUGAUCCAAAUACGUUUCAGUGGAAGAUCCCAACACCCACCAAAGAUCCAAAGAAAGAUCCAAAGAAAAAACCUGGCUUCAGCCUUGCUUUUUGUGAAUCAUGCCCCCUCUCCAGAACUUUGUUCUCAAAGCCACAGAUCUCCUGUCAGCAGUCCCCCAGCUCACAGAAAGAUGAGAAGAUGGAAGAAUGGAUUCUGAGCUGUGUCUCAGAGAAUGGCUAUCCUGAGGGGAGACUGCUGUGGGACCUGGAGGAUGGAUUGGCCGUCCACAGCAGAAACCAGACCAAUCAGACAAAGGAGACCUGGGGUCUCUACACCCUUCGCAGCCAGCUGGUCAUCAACCACAUGUUUAGCAAGAAUCCCUCCUGUAUCGUCCACAACCAACGAGCCCAGCAGACCAUCUCUUCUGUGGCUGUGUGCAAUGUCUCAGACAAAGCAGCAGUAAACCAAACGCCAGCCAAACCGAGACAUCGACUGGCAAUUGUAGCCUCAGUUCUGGGAUAUCUGUGCUUUCUGCUGCCAGUGGUGAUCCGCAAUCUCACCUAGACGUAAAAUGGGACACUACCCGCUCUUUGGAACUCAUUUCUGAAGCAUUCAUAUGUUACAAGCUUUGCCCAGGGCUUACAAACACCUUGGAACAAUCCUGUUCACCAGGUUCUCCUUGAGGAAGAGAAUGGUGAUAUUCUCCCUGGGGAGAAAAGGCGGAUUGCUGUAAGAAUAAUGGAUUAAUUCACAUGCUCAGACUACUUUUACCAUUGUGUGAAACCUGUCUGGUCAGAAGAAGAUUUGAUCAAAUGCCACCAACAUUCUCUGAUGUUGUACGAUACAGGCCAAUGGCAUUUUCCCCAGGCCUCUUCUUACACGGAGAAAAAGGGAGAUUGCAACUUGCUGUCCAGCAUUUGUGAGCUGCAGCAAUUUAUUGUAUUCCAGAUCAGGUCAUUUCAGAUCUUGAGUUUCCUCUCUUUCACACAGCUUUGAAAAAUUACAUUUGAGGGUAUUUACAUCUAAUGGUUGUUCCAAAGAUGCUACUAACAUUUAAUGAAAAUGUCUAUUACACAUUUGAGCCAGGCCCUUUUGGUUAAUGAUAUUCGAAUCAAAAGAUGUCUGUUAUAGAAAACUGUUGUCUCAUGUUUUUGGCAGCAACGUACUUAUAUACAGUAUUUCAGGUGGUUAGCUGCGUCAGCAUGCGUAGGCUGCAAAGGAACAAGUAAUAG